UGGCUUCAUAUUAAUGCCUCCAAAACAAACGCAGCCUCCUCAUCAAGAGACAGAAUAGUGUCCCUUCACCACCUCCGAUUAGGACAAGAUAGUAAGUUAACAAAACCAACAAGUGGACAGGGAAAAGAAAGGAGGAGUGGACAGACGAUGUCUGAGUGCGAUAAGUGAAGGAGGAGAGAAGUGAAAUGGUGUGUACAUUGUGGUGAGAGAGAGAGAGAGAGAGAAAAAGAGACAUAAGAGGAGGAGAGAGUCAUGGAGGGAGGGAGCCAGCUUGUCAUUGUGAAAUAGUUGGGUGGAAUACACGUGUGAACUGCAGUUCCUCUCUGCACUGCGCUGAAUGGUGACCAGCGACUCAAACAGACAGGAGGGGGAGGACUGACCAGCAUGGAGCUCCACUCACCCAAAAAGAGCUGAAUAAACAGUACAACACAGCACUGCAGUAAAGACAAGACACACACUGAGAAACACGGACAAAAGGACGCAAGAUAGGAAAGCAAGGUUUUGUUGGGAUACAAGAGCAGUUGGGUCAAGCAUUGGUGCCCUCAGGAUGUCGAGGAGGAGCUCUGCUGGGGAUUUGGUGCCCAAAGACAUCACUGAGGUACUGGCCCUUCAGGCUAGUAAGAAGAAACGUGGUUCAUCUUUAAGUCGGGCUUUUAGUUGGUUCAAGGGCAGCAAGCGCAAGAGGAGUCUCAGCAAUGGACAGAGCAGGUCAGGAGCCCCAUGUGGACGUUCUGAGGAGAACACUAGAACCAAACAGAUUCAUGCCAGUAAUGAUGCCUCUAAAGUUAUCGCUGGGACAUCACUUAUCCGAGGUGGAUUAGGCUACUAUCACAAGGGCAUGCCUUCUCUGGAAUAACUUAUCUUUCUAUUGAUGUUUCUUUUUGUCUUGUUUUGCAUUUUUUGGAGCUCAAAAUCUCUACUGGACAGAGAAUUUAGCUUUGGGCAUGGGUCCCAUCAGAGGCAUUGUGUGCUGUUGUCAU
rnacentral:lncRNA from 1 species